rnacentral:rRNA from 1 species
GGGGAAUUUUGCGCAAUGGGGGCAACCCUGACGCAGCAACGCCGCGUGCGGGACGGAGGCCUUCGGGUCGUAAACCGCUUUCAGCAGGGAAGAAGUUGACUGUACCUGCAGAAGAAGCUCCGGCUAACUACGUGCCAGCAGCCGCGGUAAUACGUAGGGAGCGAGCGUUAUCCGGAUUCAUUGGGCGUAAAGCGCGCGUAGGCGGCUCGCCAAGCGGGGUCUCAAACCCGGGGGCUCAACCUCCGGCCCGACCCCGAACCGGCGGGCUCGAGUUCGGUAGAGGAAGACGGAAUUCCCGGUGUAGCGGUGAAAUGCGCAGAUAUCGGGAAGAACACCGAUGGCGAAGGCAGUCUUCUGGGCCACAACUGACGCUGAGGAGCGAAAGCUGGGGGAGCGAACA